AAGUUCUAACGAUGAUCCGGUGCUUGCACCGGGGAUUAGUGGCGAACGGGUGACUAACACGUGAGUAACCUGCCCUUGACUCUGGGAUAAGCCUGGGAAACUGGGUCUAAUACCGGAUAUGACUCCUCAUCGCAUGGUGGGGGGUGGAAAGCUUUUGCGGUUUUGGAUGGACUCGCGGCCUAUCAGCUUGUUGGUGAGGUAAUGGCUUACCAAGGCGACGACGGGUAGCCGGUCUGAGAGGAAGAUCAGCCACACUGGGACUGAGAUACGGCCCAGACUCCUACGGGAGGCAGCAGUGGGGAAUCUUGCGCAAUGGGCGAAAGCCUGACGCAGCGAUUCCGCGUGCGGGAAGACGGCCUUCGGGUUGUAAACCGCUUUCAGCAGGGACGAAAUUGACGGUACCUGCAGAAGAAGCUCCGGCCAACUACGUGCCAGCAGCCGCGGU
rnacentral:rRNA from 1 species